AUAUCAGGAAGCUUAAUACAAUCCCAGAGGUUUUACUUGAAAAAUAGAAUUUUAUUGAUAAAAAAUAGAAAACUUCAAAUCUAUCACAACUCAUCAACAGUCUACUCCUUUUAUGUAUUGGAAGCUUGUCAACUUCUUUUUGAAAAGUUAAAGUUAAGUUAGAGCUAAGACCAUAAACAUAUGAAGACUGUCUGAGAAGACAUGACUGGAAACUGAAUAGGGCUGGGCGUGGUGGCUCACACCUGUAAUCCCAACAAUUUGGGAGGCCGAGGCGGG
rnacentral:lncRNA from 1 species